CUGUCUGGGCGCGCGUGGCUGGCGGGUGGCCGGCGGUCGAGAGGCUGCGGCGGGCGAACGCCGCUGGAGUCGCCCAGACUGCCUCGGAUUUCAUAAUGAAUCUGAGGAAGGACAAAGGGUACAUUGGACCGCCUCAGCUCAGAGGCCCCGCGGACCCUGGGCCCCGCGAUGCCCGAGGGGCGGGCGGCGCCCUCCGGAUCCUGCACCCUCAGCCCGUGCCCCGCUGGCCUCCUGGCAGGCCGGGCAGAAUUCUGCUGCGAGGGCCCUGGAGGCAAGGGCCUUCCUCUCCGUUUUUCCUUGACACUGACGGGCGCGGCCCCACAGGGUUUCCCCCACGCUCCCUGGCCGGAAGACCUUUUCUGUCUGGUGUCUGCAGAGCCUGACGUGGGCAGCGCCCGCAGCUCGCGCCGGUGCAGGGGAGCUGAGGGCCGACUGCGCGCUGCACCACGGCGGCCACCUGCUGUGCGGUUCUGAGGGCUUCCGCGGUUCUGAGGGCUUCCGCGUCCCUGCCAUGCCCAUCUUGGGGCUUCAGAAGCCAACACGAUGGUUUUCGGGCUCACAUCCCAAAGGCUGCUCUUCCUUUUAGCACCUGGGACCUACCAGGAACCUCAACCUCUAACAACAUUGGUCCCCGUUACCGUGGAGUUUGCGCCCAGCGUUCGCUGGAGGGCCGUUUGAAGAAUGAUUGUUGUCGUAAAGGCCUUUGAUAAUAAUAGAUACUGUUUACCCAGUGCUUGAUGCCAGGCAUUGCUACAAACACUGCGUACACAUUAUUCUAUUUAAUCUUCAUAACCCAGUGAGGAUAUCAACCAGGAUAUGGCAUUGCAUUGGAUCCCAACCAGGAUAUGACGUUACAUUGGAUCCCAACCAGGAUAUGGCAUUGCACUGGAUCCCAACCAGGAUAUGGCAUUGCACUGGAUCCCAACCAGGAUAUGGCAUUGCGUUGGAUCCCAACCAGGUUAUGGCAUUACAUUGGAUCCCAACCAGGUUAUGGCAUUGCAUUGGAUCCCAACCAGGAUAUGACAUUGCAUUUACUCAUCACGCCUCCUUAGGUUCCUCUUGGCUGUGACGGUUUCUCAGACUAUCCUUGUUUUUUAGGACCUUGACAGUUUUGAGGCAUACUGGAGAGCUCAACGUGGGCGUUUCUUUCUGUAACAAGUAUGCAUCAUGGCUGGCUGACUCCUCCCCAUAACAAGCAGUUUAAAGGUG